rnacentral:rRNA from 1 species
GACGAACGCUGGCGGCGUGCUUAACACAUGCAAGUCGAACGGUAAGGCCCUUCGGGGUACACGAGUGGCGAACGGGUGAGUAACACGUAGGUGAACUGCCCUGCACUUCGGGAUAAGCCUGGGAAACUGGGUCUAAUACCGGACAGGACCACUGCCCGCAUGGGUGGUGGUGGGAAGCUAUUGCGGUCUGGGAUGGGCCCGAGGCCUAUCAGCUUGUUGGUGGGGUGAUGGCCUACCAAGGCGACGCCGGGUAGACGGCCUGAGGGGGCGACCGGCCACACUGGACUGAGAUACGGCCCAGACUCCUACGGGAGGCAGCAGUGGGGAAUAUUGCACAAUGGGCGCAAGCCUGAUGCAGCGACGCCGCGUGAGGGAUGACGGCCUUCGGGUUGUAAACCUCUUUCAGCACCGACGAAGCGCAAGUGACGGUAGGUGCAGAAGAAGGACCGGCCAACUACGUGCCAGCCGCCGCAGUAA